rnacentral:rRNA from 1 species
GGCCAGACUCCUACGGGAGGCAGCAGUGGGGAAUAUUGCACAAUGGGGGAAACCCUGAUGCAGCGACGCCGCGUGAGUGAAGAAGUAUUUCGGUAUGUAAAGCUCUAUCAGCAGGGAAGAAAAUGACGGUACCUGACUAAGAAGCCCCGGCUAACUACGUGCCAGCAGCCGCGGUAAUACGUAGGGGGCAAGCGUUAUCCGGAUUUACUGGGUGUAAAGGGAGCGUAGACGGCAUGGCAAGUCAGAUGUGAAAGCCCGGGGCUCAACCCCGGGACUGCAUUUGAAACUGUCAGGCUGGAGUGCAGGAGAGGUAAGUGGAAUUCCUAGUGUAGCGGUGAAAUGCGUAGAUAUUAGGAGGAGCACCAGUGGCGAAGGCGGCUUACUGGACUGUAACUGACGUUGAGGCUCGAAAGCGUGGGGAGCAAACAGGAUUAGAUACCCCCGUACA